CAUUUUACUAUUCCAUUCAAUUUUAGAUUAAACCCCUGGAGUAUGAGAUUAUUCUUGGAGUUCUAAAUGAGCAUCAUCACUGGACACUUGUGGUCAUCUACCCACAAGAAAAAAAGUCCUUGUACUUGGAUCCGCUGGGCGAGUCGAAGGAAGCCAUCAACAAAUGUUUGGACACAACAAGGGCUUUCAUGCGAAAACAAGGCUGCAAUUUUUCAAGGUGGAGAUGUGACACUGUACCACACAC